GGAGGAAUGGCCGAGUGGUUGAAGGCGGCAGUCUUGAAAACUGUUGACGUUCACGCGUCCGUGGGUUCGAAUCCUACUUCCUCCGCCA
rnacentral:tRNA from 7 species